rnacentral:rRNA from 1 species
CUACGGGUGGCACCAGUGGGGAAUAUUGGACAAUGGGCGAAAGCCUGAUCCAGCAAUGCCGCGUGUGUGAAGAAGGCCUGAGGGUUGUAAAGCACUUUCAGUAGUGAGGAAAUGUUUAAGGUUAAUACCCUUGAAUCUUGACGUUAACUACAGAAGAAGCACCGGCUAACUCCGUGCCAGCAGCCGCGGUAAUACGGAGGGUGCAAGCGUUAAUCGGAAUUACUGGGCGUAAAGCGCGCGUAGGCGGUUUGGUCAGUCAGAUGUGAAGGCCCCGGGCUCAACCUGGGAAUUGCAUUUGAUACUGCUAAACUAGAAUGUGGUAGAGGGAAGUGGAAUUCCAGGUGUAGCGGUGAAAUGCGUAGAGAUCUGGAGGAACAUCAGUGGCGAAGGCGGCUUCCUGGACCAACAUUGACGCUGAGGUGCGAAAGCGUGGGUAGCAAACAGGAUUAGAUACCCCUGUAGUC